CCCAGGAGGCAGAAGUUGCAGUGAACCGAGAUCAUGCCAUUGCACCACUCCAGCCAGGGCAACAGAGCAAGAGUCCAUCUCCAAAAAAAAAAGGUCAAAAGUUCUCCAUAUUUGAUAAGAACAGACGACGUUACACGGACACAGGAGCCAGCUUGCAGAGCCUCUGACAGGCCAAAUCUGAGGAAAUCAAGGUAUCUGGGUUGCUGCCUACUUCUCCCUGCACCACCACCACCAAAUGUGAUGAAGAACGUACUCUGAAAUAUAAACCUAGAACUGGGAACACAGCUGAUACAUCGGGAUAUUUGUCCCCUCCAAAUCUCAGGUUGCAAUGUAAUCCCCACUGUUGGAGGCUGGACUUGGUGGAAAACAUUUUGCUUCUUGGGGACUGAUCCCUCCUGAACAACUUUAUGCCGUUCUCACUGUCAUGAUUGACGUCUUGCCGUAUGAGUUCACAGGAGAUCUGCUUGUUUAAAAAAGCCUGGGACUUCCUCCCCUCUCUUGUUCCCUGUCUCACCAUGGGAUAUGCCAGCUCCCCCUUCGCCUUCCAUGACGAUUGUAAGCUUCCUGAGGCCUCACCAGGAGCAGAUGCUGGCGCUAUGCUUCUUGUUCAGCCUGCAGAACUAUGAACUCUGGUCUUGCUAAGUUGCCCAGGCUGGGUUUGAAUUCUCCACCUCAAACAAUCCUCCUCCUUGGUCUCCCAAAGCACCAAGAUUGUAGUCGUGAGCCACUGUGGCUGGCCACCUUCAAUAUCUCUUUACGUCCUAUCCAGGAAUUCAAGCGUCCUCUUCUAUGAAUUACCUAUUAAUAUUUUCCCACUUUUUUCAGUCUUAUUUGUAUUGGCUUGUAGGAAUUCCACGUGUAUACCUAAUAAUGAUGCUCUGUGGCAUUUAGAUGUGGUAAAUACCUUUACAGAGU